rnacentral:rRNA from 1 species
GGGCCCGCACAAGCGGUGGAGUAUGUGGUUUAAUUCGAUGCAACGCGAAGAACCUUACCAGGGUUUGACAUCCUGCGAAUCUCUUGGAAACAGGAGAGUGCCUUCGGGAACGCAGUGACAGGUGGUGCAUGGCUGUCGUCAGCUCGUGUCGUGAGAUGUUGGGUUAAGUCCCGCAACGAGCGCAACCCUUGUCCUUAGUUGCCAGCCUUAAGUUGGGCACUCUAAGGAGACUGCCGGUGAUAAACCGGAGGAAGGUGUGGAUGACGUCAAGUCAUCAUGCCCCUUACAUCCUGGGCUACACACGUACUACAAUGCUACGGACAAAGGGCAGCAAGUUCGCGAGGACAAGCAAAUCCCAUAAACCGUGGCUCAGUUCAGAUCGUAGGCUGCAACUCGCCUACGUGAAGGCGGAAUCGCUAGUAAUCGCAGGUC